UCUCGAACUGCCAUCAGUGUCAGAGAAAAUCAUGCACCGACAUCACAACAACCGGCCCCUCCAUACGAAGGAGGGCUCAGGCCCAUUUUUGAGAAGCUAAGUGAGCAUGCGAUGGCACCACGUAAGGUUUCUUCACGGUGUUCUAAUGACGCCUCUUCUAGAAAUGAGGGAGCCCAUGCCGGUAGCGAGGCCCCCGCAUCGCCAUCACCACC
rnacentral:lncRNA from 1 species